rnacentral:lncRNA from 1 species
UUGACAGAGAGCUCUAUAGUAAUGCCAAAACUUUUUAUUUAAUAAUGUGUUUAUAAUUUGUUUCUUGCCUGAGUCUAAAAAGGAUCUAAAGUGUUUUCUUCGGCAUACAUACACCUUUUUAACCACACAUCUAUUUAUUGAACAUGGACUGUGUGUGAAGUACUCUUCCAUGUUCCUGUACUCAACACAAUACUGAAAGUAAAGAACUUCAUAUUUGAUACAUAAAAACAAUAGAGAAAUAGACAAUUCCAGCAACUUUUGAUCUCACAGUAAUGCCAGAUCUUUGAAUCCUGAUACAUAAAAUUUUAUUAAUAUCUUCACAUAUUUGUAUUCUACAAUGACUGUUUUAUAAAAAGGUAGUCAAUGAAAUGGUUUGAGGCAGGGCUUUGCUUUCUGGAUGGAUGUUAAUUGAAAAGAAAAAACUAUAGUUCAAACUACUGUAAGUAGCAUUUUAAAUAGACAUGAGUCAACCAAAGCAUAGUUCCCAAACUCAUACUCACUGUUUAUUAUGGUUAAUACAAUUUUAGAUUAGUAAAAUGUGCAAUCUUGGACUUACAUUUUUAAGUAAAAUAAAUAAUUUAUGAUACACUGGUGUUCUUUGUGAAAUCGAAGGAUAGAGUAUAUUUACUCUUUACAUUUUUGUUACUGGAUUUUCCUUCCAACAGAAGUAAAUAUACUAAGAAGGAAAGAACACUUCAUAAGAAGUUAGAAGAUCUGAGUUAUAGUCUAUUUUUACUUACCAGACAACUGCAUGAACUUAGGCAAGUUAUUUAGCCUACUCAGACCUUAGUAAUUUACUCUAAAAAUGAUUUUAACUAGAUAACCUAUGCUGUGCUUUCUGACUUGAAAUUUUGUGAUC